UUCUGUUUUUCCCUCUGGUUAUGAUUAUAUCCUUUAAAGAAAAUGUUAUUCAUUUAUUAACACUUUAUUCAUUUAUUUAUUUCUGACUGAAGAUCUGUACUCAACACAGUUUGUUUAAGUUCAUCUUCAUCUUUUCUGUGUGAUAGAAAUGGAUCAUCAGUUUCUGGAUGUUUCUCUCUCUGUAGAGGAGACCGGACCAGAUCCGGCCCAGAGUUCAGUUCAGCCAUGUUCAUUCACACAGAGCGAUGAAGAUGAAGAGCAGCUGGUUUAAAGGCCGGAACACACCAAGCCGACGCCGACGAACUAGUGGCGACGAAAACAGACUGCGGGGUUGGCUCACGUCGGCAGCGUCUGUGUCCAAAGUUGGCCUGACGGCCCGACGGCCACGUAGCACGGUCAGUUAUGCGCCUGUGUGAGAUGAAGUGCCUUUCCGAACAGGUCGGGUUAAUCUAUAAACUAUAUAAUGUGCGCGGAGAGAUUGCGUAUAUAUGGGGCUUUGAUAAUGAAAGUGAAAGUGCCCUUAGCGGUCACAUCGCGGAGCCCCCCGCAUUCCCAAUCUCUCUCUGUUUUGCCGAGAUUUAUUAACAAGCAGCAUCUAGCACAGCAGCCAAUCAGCGCUCUCAGAUCGACGUACAGGCGAACAUCUCGCCCAUAGCGCUCAGUGCAAUAUUGAAAGCGAGUCCGGCGGAGCGCUGAUGCGACGAGUUUUAUUCUAUGUUCGGGUUUGUGCGUCUAUUCAAAAAAAACCACACAUUCUGAAUACACCCAACUAAGACAACUGUUCAACCUUUUCUAAUAACUGAGUUGUUGUGAUGACAAAUAAACGGGUUACUCCCAUAUUUCAACCA